GGAUAAGGAAAGUAAAGAAGGGCGCAUGGCGGAUGCCUUGGCUCUCGGAGGCGAUGAAGGACGUGAUAAGCUGCGAUAAGCUUUGGGGAGGUGCAAAUGACCUUUGAUCCAGAGAUUUCCGAAUGGGACAACCCAAUAUCUUGAAGAGGUAUUAUCUUACUAUGUAAGAGGCUAACGCAGGGAACUGAAACAUCUUAGUACCUGCAGGAAAAGAAAAUAAACAAUGAUUCCCCCAGUAGUGGCGAGCGAACGGGGAACAGCCCAAACCAUCCAUGUUACGGCAUGGGUGGGGUUGUAGGACUACGCCGUUGCAUGAAGACAUCAGAGAAGAACUUUCUGGAAAGAAAGACCAUAGAGCAUGACAGUUGCGUAUUCGAAUGUUGUCGAAGCAUAGUAGUAUCCUGAGUAGCGCGGAGCACGAGGAAUUCUGCGUGAAUCUGCCGGGACCAUCCGGUAAGGCUAAAUACUCCCGAGAGACCGAUAGCGAACCAGUACCGUGAGGGAAAGGUGAAAAGCACUUCGAACAGAAGAGUGAAAUAGUUCCUGAAACCGUGCGCCUACAAGCGGUCGGAGCUCGUUAAUGAGUGACGGCGUGCCUUUUGCAUAAUGAACCUACGAGUUGCCUUUGCCGGCAAGGUUAAGUGUGACGACACACGUAUCCGAAGCGAAAGCGAGUCUGAACAGGGCGUAUAGUCGGCAGUGGCAGACGCGAAACCAAGUGAUCUACCCUUGGCCAGGUUGAAGGCUGGGUAACACCAGCUGGAGGACCGCACCAAUAAGCGUUGAAAAGCUUCUGGAUGAGCUGAGGGUAGGGGUGAAAGGCUAAUCAAACUUGGAGAUAGCUCGUACUCCCCGAAAUGCAUUUAGGUGCAGCCUUGCGGGUUACUGAUGUGAGGUAGAGCGACUGAUAAGAUGCGAGGGCUUCACCGCCUAUCAAGUCUUGACAAACUCCGAAUGCGCAUCAGUUCUACCGCAGGAGUGAGGGCAUGGGUGCUAAGGUCCGUGCCCGAGAGGAGAAGAAUCCGGACCACCUGCUAAGGUCCCNGAGCGUCUGGAAAAGCAAAUGUAGGUAUAAGUAACGAUAAAGGGGGCGGGAAACCCCCUCGCCGAAAGACUAAGGUUUCCUGAUCAACGCUAAUCGGAUCAGGGUCAGUCGGGUCCUAAGGCUCAGCCGAACGGCGAUGCCGAUGGCAGAAACGGUUAAUAUUCCGUUACUACCUUCAGGAGUGACGUGGAGACGCAGUAGUGACAGUGCCGCCAUCUGACGGAAUAGAUGGUUGAAGGGUGUAGGAGUCGAUCAUGGCAGGCAAAUCCACCAUGAGAUCCGAACCUGACAGUAUGCCGCGUCCUUCGGGACAAGGCAAUAGUGCGCGUAAGCAUGCUGCCGAGAAAAUCCGCUAAACUUAAUCCUGCAGGUACCCGUACCGCAAACGGACACACGUAGUCGGGAUGAAUAUUCUAAGGCGCUUGAGUGAUUCACGGUUAAGGAACUAGGCAAACUGACCCUGUAACUUCGGGAUAAAGGGUCCCUACCCUUUUAUGGGAGGGCGCAGAGAAUCGGUCCAGGCAACUGUUUAACAAAAACACAGGGCUGUGCCAAAUCGAAAGAUCCAGUAUACAGCCUGACACCUGCCCGGUGCUGGAAGGUUAAGAGGAGAUGUCAUCGAUAAGAGAAGCGUUGAAUUGAAGCCCCAGUAAACGGCGGCCGUAACUAUAACGGUCCUAAGGUAGCGAAAUUCCUUGUCGGGUAAGUUCCGACCUGCACGAAUGGUGUAAUGAUCUGGACGCUGUCUCAACCGUGAGCUCAGUGAAAUUGUAGUAUCGGUGAAGAUGCCGAUUACCCGCGAUGGGACGAAAAGACCCCGUGAACCUUUACUAUAGCUUAUCAUUGAAUCUGGGCACGUGAUGUGUAGGAUAGGUCGGAGGCUUUGAAGCAGGUACGCCAGUAUUUGUGGAGCCGCUGUUGAAAUACGACCCUUUAUUUGUUUGGAUUCUAACCCGUGGAACGGGGACAUUGAUUGGUGGGUAGUUUGACUGGGGUGGUCGCCUCCAAAAGCGUAACGGAGGCUUCUAAAGGUGCCCUCCGGCCGAUUGGUAACCGGCCUUAGAGUGUAAUGGCAUAAGGGCGCUUGACUGGGAGACUAACAAGUCGAUCAGGUAGGAAACUAGAGCAUAGUGAUCCGGUGUUUCCGUAUGGAAGGGACAUCGCUCAAAGGAUAAAAGGUACUCCGGGGAUAACAGGCUGAUCCCUCCCAAGAGCUCAUAUCGACGGAGUGGUUUGGCACCUCGAUGUCGGCUCGUCACAUCCUGGGGCUGGAGAAGGUCCCAAGGGUUGGGCUGUUCGCCCAUUAAAGUGGCACGCGAGCUGGGUUCAGAACGUCGUGAGACAGUUCGGUCUCUAUCUAUCGUGGGCGCAUGAAAUUUGCGUGGCUCUGACACUAGUACGAGAGGACCGUGUUGGACAGACCUCUGGUUUGCCGGUUGUGCCGCCAGGUGCAUUGCCGGGUAUCUAAGUCUGGAUCGGAUAAGUGCUGAAAGCAUCUAAGUACGAAGCCGGCCACAAGAUUAGAUUUCUCAGGGUCGUUGUAGACUACGACGUUGAUAGGAUGCAGGUGUAAAGAUGGAGACAUCAAAGCCGAGCAUUACUAAUUGCCCGUCCACUUUCCUUA
rnacentral:rRNA from 1 species